UACAGAGGGUGCAAGCGUUAAUCGGAAUUAUUGGGCGUAAAGGGCUUGUAGGUGGUUCUAUAAGUUAGAUGUGAAAACCCUGGGCUUAACCUGGGACGUGCAUUUAAUACUGUAGGGCUAGAGUAUAGUAGAGGAAAGGGGAAUUCCUGGUGUAGCAGUGAAAUGCGUAGAGAUCAGGAGGAACAUCUGUGGCGAAGGCGCCUUUCUGGACUAAUACUGACACUGAGGAGCGAAGGCGUGGGGAUCAAACAGG
rnacentral:rRNA from 1 species